rnacentral:pre_miRNA from 1 species
UGGUACUCGGAGAAAGGUUACCCGAACAACUUUGCAUCUGGAUGACGAAUGUUGCUCGGUGAACCCCUUUUCGGUAUCA